rnacentral:tRNA from 1 species
GGCCGGAUAGCUCAGCGGGAGAGCGGUUGCCUUACACGCAACUGGUCGGGGGUUCAAAUCCCUCUCCGGUCAUCA